rnacentral:rRNA from 1 species
AGAUUAAGUUAUUAAGGGCGCACGGUGGAUGCCUUGGCACUAGAAGCCGAUGAAGGACGUUACUAACGACGAUAUGCUUUGGGGAGCUGUAAGUAAGCUGUGAUCCAGAGAUUUCCGAAUGGGGGAACCCAGCACGAGUUAUGUCGUGUUAUCCGCAUGUGAAUACAUAGCAUGUGAGAAGGUAGACCCGGAGAACUGAA